rnacentral:rRNA from 1 species
AGUCGAGGGGCAGCGGGGGAUGCGUUCGCGCAUUCUGCCGGCGACCGGCGCACGGGUGAGUAACACGUAUGCAACCUGCCCCGUCCAGGGGGAUAAUCGGCGGAAACGCCGUCUAAUACCGCGUAUAUCGAUUCCGGGCAUCCGGGAUUGAAGAAAGGGCCUUAGGGUCCGGGACGGGAUGGGCAUGCGGCGCAUUAGGAAGUUGGCGGUGUAACGGACCACCAAUCCGUCGAUGCGUAGGGGUUCUGAGAGGAAGGCCCCCCACACUGGUACUGAGACACGGACCAGACUCCUACGGGAGGCAGCAGUGAGGAAUAUUGGUCAAUGGGCGGGAGCCUGAACCAGCCAAGUCGCGUGAGGGAAGAAGGUACUGAGUAUUGUAAACCUCUUUUGCCAGGGGACAAAGGCGGCCACGGGUGGCCGUAAGAGGGUACCUGGAGAAAAAGCAUCGGCUAACUCCGUGCCAGCAGCCGCGGUAAUACGGAGGAUGCGAGCGUUAUCCGGAUUUAUUGGGUUUAAAGGGUGCGCAGGCGGCGUGUCAAGUCAGCGGUAAAAUGUCGGGGCUCAACCCCGGCCGGCCGUUGAAACUGGCGUGCUCGAGUUGGAGAGAAGUAUGCGGAAUUCGUGGUGUAGCGGUGAAAUGCAUAGAUAUCACGAAGAACCCCGAUUGCGAAGGCAGCAUACCGGCUCCACACUGACGCUGAGGCACGAAAGCGUGGGUAUCGAACAGGAUUAGAUACCCUGGUAGUCCACGCAGUAAACGAUGAAUGCUAGGUGUCCGGGGCUUUGUGUCCUGGGUGCCACAGCGAAAGCGUU